CGGACGGGUGAGUAAUGUCUGGGAAACUGCCUGAUGGAGGGGGAUAACUACUGGAAACGGUAGCUAAUACCGCAUAACGUCGCAAGACCAAAGAGGGGGACCUUCGGGCCUCUUGCCAUCGGAUGUGCCCAGAUGGGAUUAGCUAGUAGGUGGGGUAACGGCUCACCUAGGCAACGAUCCCUAGCUGGUCUGAGAGGAUGACCAGCCACACUGGAACUGAGACACGGUCCAG
rnacentral:rRNA from 1 species